rnacentral:rRNA from 1 species
UACGGAAGGCAGCAGUGGGGAAUAUUGCACAAUGGGCGCAAGCCUGAUGCAGCCAUGCCGCGUGUAUGAAGAAGGCCUUCGGGUUGUAAAGUACUUUCAGUCGUGAGGAAGGUGUUAAGGUUAAUAACCUUAGCAAUUGACGUUAGCGACAGAAGAAGCACCGGCUAACUCCGUACCAGCAGCCGCGGUAAUACGGAGGGUGCGAGCGUUAAUCGGAAUUACUGGGCGUAAAGGGCACGCAGGCGGUUAAUUAAGUUGGAUGUGAAAUCCCCGGGCUUAACCUGGGAAUGGCAUUCAAGACUGGUUAGCUAGAGUCUUGUAGAGGGGGUAGAAUUCCAUGUGUAGCGGUGAAAUGCGUAGAGAUGUGGAGGAAUACCGGUGGCGAAGGCGGCCCCUGGACAAAGACUGACGCUCAUGUGCGAAAGCGUGGGGAGCGAAACAGGGAUUAGAUACC